rnacentral:rRNA from 1 species
GAUGAACGCUGGCGGCGUGCUUAACACAUGCAAGUCGAACGGAAAGGCUCCUGCUUGCAGGGGUACUCGAGUGGCGAACGGGUGAGUAACACGUGGGUGAUCUGCCCUGCACUUCGGGAUAAGCCUGGGAAACUGGGUCUAAUACCGGAUAGGACGAUGGUUUGGAUGCCAUUGUGGAAAGUUUUUUCGGUGUGGGAUGAGCUCGCGGCCUAUCAGCUUGUUGGUGGGGUAAUGGCCUACCAAGGCGUCGACGGGUAGCCGGCCUGAGAGGGUGUACGGCCACAUUGGGACUGAGAUACGGCCCAGACUCCUACGGGAGGCAGCAGUAGGGAAUAUUGCACAGUGGGCGCAAGCCUGAUGCAGCGACGCCGCGUGGGGGAUGACGGCCUUCGGGUUGUAAACUCCUUUCGCUAGGGACGAAGCGCAAGUGACGGUACCUGGAGAAGAAGCACCGGCUAACUACGUG